CGGUAACAUUUCUAGCUUGCUAGAAGAUGACGAGUGGCGGACGGGUGAGUAAUGCUUGGGAACUUGCCUUUGCGAGGGGGAUAACAGUUGGAAACGACUGCUAAUACCGCAUAAUGUCUUCGGACCAAACGGGGCUUCGGCUCCGGCGCAAAGAGAGGCCCAAGUGAGAUUAGCUAGUUGGUAAGGUAACGGCUUACCAAGGCGACGAUCUCUAGCUGUUCUGAGAGGAAGAUCAGCCACACUGGGACUGAGACACGGCCCAGACUCCCACGGGAGGCAGCAGUGGGGAAUAUUGCACAAUGGGGGAAACCCUGAUGCAGCCAUGCCGCGUGUGUGAAGAAGGCCUUCGGGUUGUAAAGCACUUUCAGUUGUGAGGAAAAGUUAGUAGUUAAUACCUGCUAGCCGUGACGUUAACAACAGAAGAAGCACCGGCUAACUCCGUGCCAGCAGCCGCGGUAAUACGGAGGGUGCGAGCGUUAAUCGGAAUUACUGGGCGUAAAGCGCACGCAGGCGGUUUGUUAAGCUAGAUGUGAAAGCCCCGGGCUCAACCUGGGAUGGUCAUUUAGAACUGGCAGACUAGAGUCUUGGAGAGGGGAGUGGAAUUCCAGGUGUAGCGGUGAAAUGCGUAGAUAUCUGGAGGAACAUCAGUGGCGAAGGCGACUCCCUGGCCAAAGACUGACGCUCAUGUGCGAAAGUGUGGGUAGCGAACAGGAUUAGAUACCCUGGUAGUCCACACCGUAAACGCUGUCUACUAGCUGUGUGUGCCUUUAAGGCGUGCGUAGCGAAGCUAACGCGCUAAGUAGACCGCCUGGGGAGUACGGCCGCAAGGUUAAAACUCAAAUGAAUUGACGGGGGCCCGCACAAGCGGUGGAGCAUGUGGUUUAAUUCGAUGCAACGCGAAGAACCUUACCUACACUUGACAUGCUGAGAAGUUACUAGAGAUAGUUUCGUGCCUUCGGGAACUCAGACACAGGUGCUGCAUGGCUGUCGUCAGCUCGUGUCGUGAGAUG
rnacentral:rRNA from 1 species